UAGGAAUCUUCCGCAAUGGGCGAAAGCUUGACGGAGCAACGCCGCGUGAGUGAUGAAGGUCUUCGGAUCGUAAAACUCUGUUAUUAGGGAAGAACAAAUGUGUAAGUAACUAUGCACGUCUUGACGGUACCUAAUCAGAAAGCCACGGCUAACUACGUGCCAGCAGCCGCGGUAAUACGUAGGUGGCAAGCGUUAUCCGGAAUUAUUGGGCGUAAAGCGCGCGUAGGCGGUUUUUUAAGUCUGAUGUGAAAGCCCACGGCUCAACCGUGGAGGGUCAUUGGAAACUGGAAAACUUGAGUGCAGAAGAGGAAAGUGGAAUUCCAUGUGUAGCGGUGAAAUGCGCAGAGAUAUGGAGGAACACCAGUGGCGAAGGCGACUUUCUGGUCUGUAACUGACGCUGAUGUGCGAAAGCGUGGGGAUCAAACAGG
rnacentral:rRNA from 1 species